rnacentral:rRNA from 1 species
GACGAACGCUGGCGGCGUGCUUAACACAUGCAAGUCGAACGGUGAAGCGCCUUCCUUUUUGGUGGGUGUGGAUGAGUGGCGAACGGGUGAGUAACACGUGAGUAACCUGCCCCCUUCUUCUGGAUAACCGCAUGAAAGUGUGGCUAAUACGGGAUAUUCUGGGUCUGUCGCAUGAUGGGUCUGGGCAAGAUAUUGUUUCGGUGGGGGAUGGGCUCGCGGCCUAUCAGCUUGUGGGUGGGGUGAUGGCCUACCAAGGCGGUGACGGGUAGCCGGCCUGAGAGGGUGGACGGUCACACUGGGACUGAGACACGGCCCAGACUCCUACGGGAGGCAGCAGUGGGGAAUAUUGCACAAUGGGCGCAAGCCUGAUGCAGCGACGCAGCGUGAGGGAUGGAGGCCUUCGGGUUGUGAACCUCUUUCGCCAGUGAAGCAGGCCUGCCUCGUAUGUGGGUGGGUUGACGGUAGCUGGAUAAGAAGCGCCGGCUAACUACGUG